UGGGGAAUAUUGCGCAAUGGGCGAAAGCCUGACGCAGCGACGCCGCGUGGGGGAUGACGGCCUUCGGGUUGUAAACCUCUUUCAGCAGGGACGAAGUUGACGUGUACCUGCAGAAGAAGCGCCGGCUAACUACGUGCCAGCAGCCGCGGUAAUACGUAGGGCGCAAGCGUUGUCCGGAAUUAUUGGGCGUAAAGAGCUCGUAGGUGGCUUGUCACGUCGGGUGUGAAAGCUUGGGGCUUAACUCCAGGUCUGCAUUCGAUACGGGCUGGCUAGAGGUAGGUAGGGGAGAACGGAAUUCCUGGUGUAGCGGUGAAAUGCGCAGAUAUCAGGAGGAACACCGGUGGCGAAGGCGGUUCUCUGGGCCUUACCUGACGCUGAGGAGCGAAAGCGUGGGGAGCGAACA
rnacentral:rRNA from 1 species